GCUCCUUCGACCCUUCCCCAUCUCUUCCUGUGCAUCUCAAAAUAUAAUCCUGCAUCUUGCUCUAGAAAUUCUCUACAUCGGGCAAUUUAAUUUAGUUUAUGGAGUUUGAUUUCGCCGGGAAAAAAACAGAGAGAGAAUUAUCUCUAUCUCUAUGGCGUAAAAGAUGGCAAAUCGCAGACUUUGAUGGAAGGAAAACGCUCGGAGAUUCUCAACUGCUGUAUGAAUAACUUGGGGAAACAGAGAGAUUUUCCCUGAGUAACCGUGCAAGAAAAGAAGAAGAAACCCGCAGCCGCAGAAGCGACUUGCAAGACGCAGCAAUGAAUGGAUUACAUUACAUUACACGAUGGGAGGAGUAUCUAGCAGAGUGGGUGAGUUGAGAGCUGGUACCUGUAGGACUGGUGAUGCAUUGAGCAUCGGCGACGCCAUUGCUGUUGCACACAGCUCGGCGCUGGUAACCGCACGCAGUGGCCUCUAGUGACCCGUGAGGUCACGGGAGAGGAGAGGGAGUGGAUUGGAUGGUAGCGGCAGGAGCGGCGCCCAAUUUAUAGGACUCCUCUCUGCACUGUUGGGCACUACUAUACUAGCUCCUUCAUUCAUUAUUACAAAAUGAAAACAUUCCAUGAUAGGGUCUAUGCCACAAUACUUGUCGUUGCUGUUAGUGUUAGGUUCUGAAUAAUGGUAGAUUCAUUUUGUAUCGGUAAUUCAGAUUGCUGAUGGUGCAUUCCAUGGCUUUCUAAUGCUUGUAGCCGUGCUACUUUCUUGCUGAAUUUUGACUGGCAGUAGCUACCACACGGUUAGAAUCUUUAUCUAGCAUAGAGAUGGCGACAUCCAGAAAUCUUGAAUCCUUGCUUCCAUUUUCGUGCUGCUUUGCUUUAAUAAAUGCUAGUUAGAUUUGUAGCUGAUGCUAUGUCAAUAAUUUUGUGAAGGUCAUCUUCUUGAAGCCGAGGUCUUCUAAAACAAUUGUCACUCUGCUACUGCAGACACACCAACCAUAUCUGCACGGCGGUCCGCAACAACAACCACCGUGCCUUAAACCCAAACCCUCACACGCCGCUCGAAACUUCCAGAACUUUCCGCCUCGCCAUGGCGGCCACUGCCACUGCCGCUGCCGCAGCCCUCGAUGGAUCCGCUCGCAGGAGGACGGCGUACGCAAGGACGGAGCUCGAGGCGCUCAGGGGCGCCCCGUCGGAGGAGGCGCAGGCGCGGCUGUGGACCGAGGUCCGCGCCGCCCUCGUCGCCGCCGGCUGCUCCAGCGAGUACGAUGGGCUCCUUGUGGCUGAAGACGAGGAGCCUAGGAGCGGGAGGGGGAGCAAGGGGAGGAAGGCAGCGGGCGGGGGAGGCGCUGGGGCCGGGAGGAAGUGGGGCAAAGAGACGGCGGCGCCCCCAUUUUCUGGUGUGCCCGAGAUUAGUGCAUGGAGAAAUGGGGAUUUGGGGGUUUCUCACAAACACUGCUUGGAGGCUGGUGCUCGUGGCCCUGGUGUGGCGUAUGGAGUGGUUGAAGAGCAGGGGGAAGAUAUGGAGUAUGAAGAUGACAACGAUGAUGACUAUGAGGGCAUUUUGAAGCCUGCAUUUGUGGUGGACGGGGACCCCGAUUUCGAGUCUGGAGAGCCUCUUGACGGUUUUGAGUAUCUUCGGCAUGUCAGCGUUCACAGUUACAACUCAGGCGGCUUUAUAGUCCCAGCCACCGACUCGGGCUCAACCCACAGUGGGCCGGCCAAAUACAUUUGUGGGCGUCCGGCCCAUUAACUCGAACCGCUUGACGCGCCAAGCAGACCAGCCACGAUUCGUGACAGUUACUGGCUUGUCCCUUCUCUUUUCUGCUCUACUGGUGAAUGCUAUAUUUGGCUAUCAAUCUGUCAUCCCUACAGCAGUUGUCUGAGCUACAAAAUGUGGGGAUUUAGUGUAUGGUAUUCUAUCAAAGUCAUGAAACCAUGAUGUCUCCACUGUAAUCUGCUAAUUGGAAUUGGAACACUCGUCUGAGGAUCUAGCCCAUCGAAACAAGAGGGUGAAAAUAUUUCAACAUUUUCAUUAGAUGGUGGGAGGCUAGGCAAAUCCCUAGAGUGAAGGUAGCCAAGGUGGAUUUGAGUGCAGCUAGAAAGGAGUAAACCCCUUAUAUGCCAGAAAUUCCUGACAUACCCAAGUACUCACCUGAUUUGCGCACAUCAAAGCAAUGGGAGGAUGCAUUUCUUACCCAUUUUUCUGAGACCAGGCUGGUAAUCUAUCUUAUUUUUUUUGUUCAAACAUUUAACUUUCCAUGUGAAAAGUGCAAGCAUCCCAAAACACGUUAACCCUAUGUUUGUGAAAUGGUGUUUACUGAGUCAUUGAUGUUUUUUGCUAUUUUCUGACCCUUUAAAUAUAUGAGUUACAAGAUUAGUGCAAUUACAAACAUAUCUGUGUUUCCCUUGUGUUUUUUCAGAUUGCAAGAGCAAACGUUUGCAUAUAUGUAACUUGGCAUGAUUUGUCUAUUUUGUCACAUGCAUUCCCUUUAUUUUUU